rnacentral:rRNA from 1 species
UACGGGGGGAGCAAGCGUUGUUCGGAUUUACUGGGCGUAAAGGGCGCGUAGGCGGCGCAACAAGUCACUUGUGAAAUCUCCGGGCUUAACCCGGAGCGGCCAAGUGAUACUGUCGUGCUAGAGUGCGGAAGGGGCUACUGGAAUUCUCGGUGUAGCGGUGAAAUGCGUAGAUAUCGGGAGGAACACCUGCGGCGAAGGCGGGUAGCUGGGCCGACACUGACGCUGAGGCGCGAAAGCCAGGGGAGCGAACGGG